GACUGAAAAGGUGAGCCAAGACCAGUAUAUCUAAAUAUAAAGAAGAAAUCAAUUUGACUUUUUUUACAGUAAAAAUCCAAAACCUUCAAAAGUACCAAGUUGUAUAAGUAGCUAAAUUCUUACUCCACAUUUCUUUUCCGGAUUUUGCCGAUGUAUUGGAUCCUGGCAUCACAAAAGUGUGCAGUGUAUGUCCACCAACUACCAAACGUAUUAGGGCAGAUAGCAUCAAUUUGGGAGAAAAGCUGUUAUUGACUUACCUCUACUGGUUUGGAAAGCGAUGGGGUUCCUGAGAGAAGAAUACGCCUGUUGGCACUCCUGAUCAGAGGACUGAUAGCUUUACAGGAGGCUGUCUUAAUGUUUCUUAUGUAGUGGGACUCGUCUACUAUCACUACCUGAAAACUCUGAUUGGAUUUACAAGAUUGAUCACUGUUUGCUAUCUUCACCUUUCAUAAAUGCAGCUAGACAACUCGUGCCUCCAGAGAUGUUGACUAUGUAU